rnacentral:tRNA from 1 species
CGGGAAAUAGUAUAAGAAGAUGUACGGUGGGUUUGGGACUCACGAGUCCUUGGUUCAAGGUUUCCUGUC